CACAUGGGGGGCAUUUGCUUGUUUGGAGAGUUACUGUCAUAUUGGUGUGGGGGAAGGACACAAUACUGAACCAAAGCUCGAUUUAAUUUCAUUGUCAUUAGCCUACUUCAUUUUUUUAAAUUGUUUACACAUAGGUGACUACAUAGAAUAAAUUGUUACUGUAGAAUAAAUAGGCUAAUCACAGUAAAAAUUAAAACAAACCGGCACACAUAGGCUAUUAUAAGCGCGACUCAUGGACGGUGACGCACGCUGCAUAGAAACAGCUGCUGCCGCGACUCUGGAAAGCUGAGUUUACCGGCGCGAUAUAAAAACAUAUCAUGUUAUAUGUACUUUUAAUAAUACAUUUUUCAAAUCAUAUAUAGGCCUUCGCAACAGAUAUGACUAUUUCCAGACCAAAGUAGUGUCUGGAAAUAAAAUGAAAUAUUCUGGCACCUUUGAUUGGGUGGGCCAGCCAUCAAUCUGGGUGGGCCAGUGCCGCCCUGGCCCUUCUGUAGCCUCGCCACUGCUACACACUCUAAAAAAAAUGGUUCUUCAGCGGUUCUUUGGGGUGGUUAAGGUGCUAUAUAGCACCGCUACCUUAUAAAGAACCUGUAAAGCACCUGUAUGGUUCUUCAGCGGUUCCUUGCUGUGGUUAAGGUGCUAUAUAGCACCACUGCCAUAAAAAGAACCCGUUAAGCCUCUGUAUAGUUCUUUAAAGGUUCUCUAACUCUCUUAUUCUCUUAGUUUAGGUGGGGAAAGGAUUAAAAACAACAUUAAAUUACAGUGUAUUUUCUAAACAACCUGGUUCUCAACCUUUUUGUCCCCAAGCCCUUCUACACUGUAAAAGUGAAUAUGGGUGUAAGUUGGAUUGCUGUAACUAUUUGAGUCUAAUUACUAAUUCUUUCUGCGAAUUGCUCCCAAUAUUGUACACUCAACUACUCAAAUAUCUCACUUUCAGCCAAAGGAUAAUUUCUCUUUAAGGACCCCGUGACAGACGUUUUUUUUUUCUGACGUCAUGACUCACGAGCCUUUCUCGAGUUUUCUGCUCGGCCGCCAUUUUCUUUCCCCUGGACUCGGAUGAAUUAAGGAUCUAACGUAAAGCUCUUCAAUGUUUGACGACUAAGGACACAUUGCAAUAACUUUACAUGUGACAUUAGCCAUUGACAUUACAUUAAUCACAGAAGAUCACAGUUCCAGCUAAAAAUCUUUACUGUUCUACUGAAGAAAUAAAAAAAAAAAAGUCAACUUGGAUGGCCUGAUGACUGAAAACAUUCACCUGAGAAGUGUGUCCUGAAAGCCCUUAUCUUUUUCCUGAGAGAAAGUCCUGAAGACCUCAUCAAGGAGUACUUUCUGAGUUGAAUGAUAACCAGACAGAUGAUUGAGGAGCAGCUCACCAUGGCGAUGUUCAUUAUUUGGAAGGAGGGGGAGAACUUCAUGAACCAUCUGCUGACAUUGAGGGAGUUAAAGUUUUGAAUCAACUUACUUCAGUUACAUCAGCUUGUGCCCUGCUUCUAGGCCCACAGUUGGAAGCAGCUAUUCUCCUCUUGCCUGCACUGUUCAAGGUGGACCUGGGGUUGCUGUUUGACAUUGAGGGCCAUGCUCAGACCAGCACUCCUGUCAUCCCAACACCUAAGAUAGUGCCUAAAGCCUGCGGGAGGAUCAUCUCAUGCAGUAUGACCACAUUUUGUUCAUGUUGGAUGUCCAGUUAAUCACAGAGUAGAGUGCCAUCUUGAUGGCACUGGGCCUCCUCCUAUGUGUAUAUUUUGCAUUUGGAAUCGAAUCCAAUCCAGUAUCCUAAAGGACUGAAAGACACUGACCUUUUUGAAGUGUGUUGUUUUUAAAUUGAAGGAUGCAGUCGGACUUCCUGUCACUGUAAAAUAAACUCAAUCUGUGAGUAGACUUUCGGAGUCAAUAUUCUCUCUUGCUCCCUUUCUUACGGUUUUAGUUCCAGUUUCUAUAUUGUUUUUGAAAUCAUGAAGGACUUACAAAAAUGUUAGUGCGCUGUUGACAGUGAAAGAAACUGCAGGACUUCAGAGCAUUACUCAGUAUGUAAAAACAGGAGUAUUGUCUUCAAAAAUGUACAUAUUUCAAGCUUGUUCCAUUAUUAUACAUUUGUAUGUGUAUAAAAGGGUAGUAUAAUGUGAUGUGGUACAUGUAUAUUCCCUGACUUGUCAGCACUGAGUUUAUUUGCUGCUGAAAGAAAUAAAUUAAAAGGUUUUGAAAGUG